UGGGGAAUUUUGGACAAUGGGCGAAAGCCUGAUCCAGCAAUGCCGCGUGUGUGAAGAAGGCCUUCGGGUUGUAAAGCACUUUUGUCCGGAAAGAAAUGGCUCUGGUUAAUACCUGGGGUCGAUGACGGUACCGGAAGAAUAAGGACCGGCUAACUACGUGCCAGCAGCCGCGGUAAUACGUAGGGUCCAAGCGUUAAUCGGAAUUACUGGGCGUAAAGCGUGCGCAGGCGGUUGUGCAAGACCGAUGUGAAAUCCCCGAGCUUAACUUGGGAAUUGCAUUGGUGACUGCACGGCUAGAGUGUGUCAGAGGGGGGUAGAAUUCCACGUGUAGCAGUGAAAUGCGUAGAGAUGUGGAGGAAUACCGAUGGCGAAGGCAGCCCCCUGGGAUAACACUGACGCUCAUGCACGAAAGCGUGGGGAGCAAACAGGAUUAGAUACCCUGGUAGUCCACGCCCUAAACGAUGUGCAA
rnacentral:rRNA from 1 species